CCUACGGGCGGCAGCAGUGGGGAAUUUUGGACAAUGGGGGAAACCCUGAUCCAGCCAUUCCGCGUGAGUGAAGAAGGCCUUCGGGUUGUAAAGCUCUUUCGGCAGGAACGAAACGGCGGACUCUAACAUAGUCUGUCAAUGACGGUACCUGAAGAAGAAGCACCGGCUAACUACGUGCCAGCAGCCGCGGUAAUACGUAGGGUGCGAGCGUUAAUCGGAAUUACUGGGCGUAAAGCGUCUGUAGGCGGUCAGUUAAGUUAGAUAUGAAAUCUAACAGCUUAACUGUUUAGACAGUAUCUAAAACUAACUGACUAGAGAAUAGUAGAGGCAAGUGGAAUUUCCGGUGUAGCAGUGAAAUGCGUAGAUAUCGGAAGGAACACCAAUGGCGAGGGCAGCUUGCUGGACUAUUUCUGACGCUGAGAGACGAAAGCGGGGGGAGCGAACGGGAUUAGAUACCCCGGUAGU
rnacentral:rRNA from 1 species